rnacentral:tRNA from 1 species
GGCCCGUUGGUCUAGUGGUUAGGACGCCUGACUCUCACUCAGGAGAUCACCGGUUCGAAUCCGGUACGGGUCA